GAAGUGAUUGGCCAACGUGAGAAUGAAGGAGGAUAGAGGGGGAAGUUCAGGACUCUAAGAUAUCUCCCCCUUUGCCAAGUGUCUGAAGAUCACAGAUAAAGGAAGAGGCCUGGUGGGAAGUUGGAAUGAUGGAAAGUGUUGCCAGAAACAUCUGAGAGGAAGGAAGUCAAAGAGGCACACAGGAGCCACAGAGAAGAGUGAAAGUCAGAAGUCAGUCCUUGGGAUGAAGUUUGCUGAGAAUGAUGUUCUCCAGAUUCAUCCAUGUCCCUGCAAACGACACGAACCCAUGAGAAGUUUUAAAAGAAU
rnacentral:lncRNA from 13 species